rnacentral:rRNA from 1 species
GAUGAACGCUGGCGGCGUGCCUAAUACAUGCAAGUCGAGCGAACGGACGAGAAGCUUGCUUCUCUGAUGUUAGCGGCGGACGGGUGAGUAACACGUGGAUAACCUACCUAUAAGACUGGGAUAACUUCGGGAAACCGGAGCUAAUACCGGAUAAUAUUUUGAACCGCAUGGUUCAAAAGUGAAAGACGGUCUUGCUGUCACUUAUAGAUGGAUCCGCGCUGCAUUAGCUAGUUGGUAAGGUAACGGCUUACCAAGGCAACGAUGCAUAGCCGACCUGAGAGGGUGCUCGGCCACACUGGAACUGAGACACGGUCCAGACUCCUACGGGAGGCAGCAGUAGGGAAUCUUCCGAAAUGGGCGAAAGCCUGACGGAGCAACGCCGCGUGAGUGAUGAAGGUCUUCGGAUCGUAAAACGCUGUUAUUAGGGAAGAACAUAUGUGUAAGUAACUGUGCACAUCUUGACGGUACCUAAUCAGAAAGCCACGGCUAACUACGU